CUCAAAUCCAUCCCAGAAGUACCAUCGUAAUUCAGCAAACUUGUAUAGCCAUGACUUGCAAUAAAAUAGUCGGCGUGAUACUGAUCAUCCAGGCGUGCUUGGUGCAGAUUCGCCUUCGACAAAGAAGGUUUUGAUUGAUCAAAAGAUUGAGGAUUGAGAGGCUUAUGGGUUCUUGGAUCAAUUCCUUGGCUUAUCAGCUUCUUACUCAGGAGUCGAUGGAGGCGGAGAAUGAGAUCUUCUUCAUCAUCGGCGAUCUGGCCACGUUUAACAGAAGGGCGGAGGUAGUUCAUCCAGCGGAGACGGCAGCUCUUGCCACAGCGGAGGAGACCGGCUUUCUUGGGUAAAGUUCGCCACCGACCUUCACCUUCUUUCUUGAUAUAGUUAACAAGGAGUUCAUCUUCCUCUGGUGUCCACGGUCCUCUCUUUAACCCUACCUUGAUGCAGCAUGGGGUGGUCUUUGCUGCUGAUUCUGCUGUUGUAGCUGAAGUUGGUUUUCUCAUCUUGAUUAAUAUUUUAUUGGAAGUGCUCGAUACAUCGAUAUAUUGGAUUCAGCUAAGCUUUAUCUUACCUACCUUUUUCUUGUUUUCUUUCUAUAUUUGUUUUUUGAGUUGUGGUAAUAUCUAGGAUGCUGUAUAUGUGUACAUUUAGAAUGUUGUGUGAUGAUGAUAUGAUGAGCAUGAGGGUUGAUGGAUAGAAAGGAGGAGGAUGAGGGUAGGGUACGGUAGGGUAGGGGCUCUUCUCCCUUCUUCUUCUUCUUCUUCUUUUUGUGUUGAGAGUGAUUUCUUCUUGGGAUCAGACGGUGUAAGGUUUGUUGGGUCUAAUGUGGAGCAGUAAAGACACUGAUAAAUAGGCAAUCGCCUUAUAAGGGGAGUGCACGUGACGACACCCUAUUCAUCCAUCCAUUCAAUUUCAUCU